CAUAGGAUAUGUUGAUAGACAGAGAUAAAAAGUAGUCUAUGUCUUUCUCAAUUCUAAAUAGGACCGUACAUGUAUUUGGUACACACGUAGUGUAUCAAAUUUCAUGUGUUUGGUUGAUUAAGAGGUAACAAACCCACUUUCAAAGUAAGGAUAAAAUAGUAAAGGAUAAAGAUUAAUAUUAAUAGGAUUUGUAAUAUGGUUUAUUUUGACAUGUUUUAGGGUGUAUGCGAGAAAACAAUUCAAGACGUGGUGGAGCGAUUUUGGGACAUCAUUGAGGACAUUAACAUCAACAACGUGCUGGGUUUCCUGCGAGAUAAUAUCGUAGGCGUUGUAGUGCUAGUUACAGCCUUCGUGUGGAUACCCGCUAGUUGUAUUAUAAGCUACGUGGACAGACGACGGCAACGUCUCCAUCAGAAAUAUGUUUUAUGGGAGAAGCAAAGAGAGUAUAUCCAUCCUUCGUCGCCACGAAAAAUAAUAUCUACCAGGUUGCCGAAACAAAAGCCUCCGGGUAUGAAGACUGGCAUUCAGGGAACCAGUCAGUUGUUGAAUUGAUCCAGUUGUUUAGAUUAUUUUUUUGUGUAUGUGGUAUCUCUGUAAUUAAUUUCUUAUAAAAUAAAC
rnacentral:lncRNA from 1 species